UUUCUCAGCUUUUAUUCUCCUGGAGAGAGCUCAUGACAACCUUCCUGCCUGAAAAUUCAACUUCCCUGAUCCUCUUUACUCAUUGAUCAACAAAAUGCAUCUAUACAUAUAUACUAAUCACCCCGAAUGUGAAUAAUAUAUUUAAUGUGUGUUCUUACUCAGUGUUUGUUUCGUAAGUAACUGUAAUGAUUGGGGUCCUUGGGUUGCAGGCAACAGAAGAUGACUUUGGACAAUUUAAGAAGGGAAAUUUAUCAGGAACUUAGCACAUCAACUGGAAAGCUGAGACUCAGGGUUGCAUUGCCAUGUCACAUGAAGCUGCUUCUCCCGAUGAAGCAGAGAUUGAAAUGUCACACCAGCACGAUCAAUUAGAUGAUGUAGAAGAGAGGCAUUUGCUACUUGACCUUAAUCCACAGGGCAAGAAGGGCUGAGUGGAGAAGACUAAAUACAGAGAGACUCAAAGGAAGAGGAAAUGGGCAGAGCAUAGUUUAAAUAGGCACAAAGCAGCAUAAAUGUUGAUUCAUGACGAAAAGGACAUCCUCAGGUUAAAGACUUCUUAUGAUGUAUACUGGUUCACUCACUCGUUCAACUCGGAGUGAGUACAAAGUAAAUAUAAACACCUUUCACACAAGGAAUAGGACAGAAAAGGAAGUAGGAUCCAUUUGGUUGCUUCAGAGUUCAAUUGUGAGAUAUCUAUUUAUCACAGCAGUGGAAAACCAGCAGGAGGUUCAGAGGAAAGCCAUGGAAACAGGAGGACCAGGAAAAUGAAAUGCAAACAAGUAUCCUGGGGAGUUUUGCAGCUGAUGAACCAAUGAUGAACCAAUCAUGAUGCAGGAUACUUCAUAAGUCACCAAACCUCCCUUGGCAGUUUAACAUCUUUUGUUCUAGAAGGUAAGAAAAUAUUCACAAAGCUUUUAAUGCUCUCCAGCUGUUCAUUGGUAAAGACCUCAACACAAGGCUCAAAGGGUGAAAAUUGUGCUUCGUUUAUAUUUUAUAUUUUUAUUUUUAAAUAUAAAAGAAAUGUUUUAUUGUCCUUUGGGGUUAAAAUUUCUCAAGUUUUAAGGAAUUUUCUUUUUAUUUUUUUAAUAUAAUUUGUUGUCAAAUUGGCUCAUAUACAGUACCCAGUGCUCAUCCCAACAAAUGCCCUCCUCAAUGCCCAUCACCUACAUUCUCCUCUCCUCCACCCCCCAUCAACCUCAGUUUGUUCUCUCUUAUGGUUUUCCUCCAUCCCUCUCUGUUUGUAACUAUUUUUUUCCCCUUCCCCUCCCUCAUGGUCUUCUGUUCAGUUUCUUAAGAUCCACAUAUGAGUGAAAAUAUAUGGUAUCUGUCUUUCUCUGCCUGACUUAUUUCACUUAGCAUAAUACCCUCCAGUUCCAUGCACGUUGCUGCAAAUGGCCAGAUUUCAUUCUUUCUCAUUGCCAAGUAGUAUGCCAUUGUAUAUAUAAACCACAUCUUCU